CUGUCCUGGAACUCACUUUGUAGACCAGGCUGGCCUCGAACUCACAGAGAUCCACCUGCCUCUGCCUCCCGAGUGCUGGGAUUAAAGGUGUGCGCCACCAACGCCCGGCACCAGGGGCCUUUCACAAGGGUAACUGUACACUGGGGAAAAGGGAACAAUCAGACUUUCCAGUCUAUUAGAUGCUGGUUCUGAAUUGACACUGAUUCCAGGAGAUCCCAACAAACACCAUGACCCUCCAGUUAAAAUAGGGUCUAAUAAAGGCCAGUUGAUUAGUGGAGUUUUGACUGAAGUCUGACUUAGGACCCCAAACUCAUCCUGUGGUUGGUUAUUCCCCCAGUUCCAGAAUGUAUAACUGGGAUAGAUAUACUUAGACGUUGGCAGAAUUCUCACCUUGGUUCCCUGACCUGUAGAGUGAGGCUAUUGGGGUUAGAAAGGCUAAAUGGAUGCCUUUAGAGUUGCAAAGGCAACUACCAAGGAAAAUAAUUAAUCAAAAACAGUACUGCAUCCCUGGAGGAAUUGCAGAAAUGGGUGCCACCAUCAAAGAUUUGAAAGAUGCAGGGAUAAUGGUUCCCACCACCUCUCCUUUAACUCUCCUGUCUGUCCAGUGCAGAAGACAGAUGGGUCGUCAUAUUAGUGCUCACCAAAAGGUGGCUUCAGUUGAGGAGUUCAGUGAUCAAGUAGAUAGCAUGACCCAUGAUAUGGACAAUUAGCCUCUUUCCCUAGCCAUUCCUGUCAUUGCCCAAUGAACUCAUGAACAAAGUAGCCAAGGUGGCAGAAAUGGUGAUUAUGCAUAAUGGACUUUCACUCACCAAGACUGACCUGGCUACAGCUGCUGCUGAGUGCCAGAUAUGCCAAGAACAGAGACCAACACUGAGCCCCCAGAUAUGGCACCAUUCCCUGGGAUGACCAGCCAGCAACCUGGUGGCAGGUUGGCUACAUUGGACCACUUUCUCUGUGUAAAGGACAAUGCUUUGUCCUUACCAGAGUAGAUACUUAUUCUGCUUAUGGAUUUGCCUUUUCUACACACAAUGCUUCUGCCAAAAUCACCAUUUGUGGACUUAAGAGAAUGUCUGAUACACUGACAUGGUAUUCCACACAGUAUUCUUCUAACCAAGGAGCUCACUUUACAGCCAGAGAAGUGUGACAGUGGCCCACAGCAGCAAUGAAGGUAUGGAUGGGUCACUCCUCCAGGAAAAGAACCAAGACCCGCUGACAUACUUGCCAAAGGGUCAUGACCCACAGUUUGAGAACUGCUGCACUAGAGGAGCUGGCUGGUAACCCAAAGAAAAAUCCAACUACAGAUACUGACCUCCUGGAAAUGGAGUUCCACAUGAGUUUCUUAUUUAGGAAAUAGUACCAGACUGUGUGUAGGUGCAUUGGAAGUUUACUGAACAAUGGGUAAAUAGAGGUUGAAAUUUGGUUUGCAAACAGUUCACUUGUACAUUCCCCCCAGCUGUGCCCAUUGAGAGGGAGGUGUGUUUUGUUUUCUAAUUAUACAAUGAUGCCAUAUGGGCUACAAGGGGCCCUAUCUCCCUAUGUCCAGUUUUCCUCCCCCCACCCACAGCUUCAACAUCCCAAAGUCUCCCUUAGUCCCUCUAUCUCCUAUAUCCUCUCCCUUAUGAUCACAGUAAGCUGCUGAAUCCGGGUAAUAUAAAUGCAGAAUUCUGAGUUCUAUUUGAAAUUCCAUUUUAAAAGAAUUUAUUUUAGUACAACUAUGCUCUGACUGUCCAUUCUGUCCUCAUUUUCUAGCAGGAAUCUCUGGUUUUUUUUAAUGUAUAUUUUUUAUUAAGCUAUUCAUUUUCCCCUCUCCCCUUCUACCCUUCUACCCAUGCUGCCAGUUUACUUAGAAGGUCUUGUCUUUUUCCCUUUGCUAGGCAGUGAUAUAAAAAAUAAAUACUUUGCAUUGA